GAUAACAGGCUGAUCUUCCCCAAGAGUCCAUAUCGACGGGAUGGUUUGGCACCUCGAUGUCGGCUCGUCGCAUCCUGGGGCUGGAGUCGGUCCCAAGGGUUGGGCUGUUCGCCCAUUAAAGCGGUACGCGAGCUGGGUUUAGAACGUCGUGAGACAGUUCGGUCCCUAUCCGCUGUGCGCGUAGGAGUCUUGAGAAGGGCUGUCCCUAGUACGAGAGGACCGGGACGGACGAACCUCUGGUGUGCCAGUUGUCCUGCCAAGGGCAUGGCUGGUUGGCUACGUUCGGGAGGGAUAACCGCUGAAAGCAUCUAAGCGGGAAGCCUGCUUCGAGAUGAGGACUCCCACCCACUUGAUGGGGUAAGGCUCCCAGUAGACGACUGGGUUGAUAGGCCGGAUCUGGAAGCCAGGUAACUGGUGGAGGUGACCGGUACUAAUAGGCCGAGGGCUUGUCCUCAGUUG
rnacentral:rRNA from 1 species